UACAUGGGGGUGCAAACGUUGCUCGGAAUUAUUGGGCGUAAAGCGCACGUAGGCGGUUCGUUAAGUCGGAUGUGAAAGCCCUCGGCUCAACUGAGGAAGUGCACCCGAAACUGGCGAGCUUGAGUACGAAAGAGGAUCGCGGAAUUCCCGGUGUAGAGGUGAAAUUCGUAGAUAUCGGGAGGAACACCGGUGGCGAAGGCGGCGAUCUGGGUCGAUACUGACGCUGAGGUGCGAAAGCGUGGGGAGCAACAGG
rnacentral:rRNA from 1 species